CCUACGGGUGACAGCAGUGGGGAAUAUUGCACAAUGGGCGAAACCCUGAUGCAGCGACGCCGCGUGCGGGAAGAAGUAUCUACGUAUGUUAAGCUCCAUCAGCAGGGAAGAAAAUGACGGUACCUGAUUAUGAAGCCACGGCUAACUCCAUGCCAGCAGCCGUGGUACUACGGCGGGGGCCCGCGUUAUCCGGAUUUACUGGGUGUAAAGGGAGCGUAGACGGCAGGAAAAGUCUGGAGUGAAAUGCCGGGGCUUAACCCCGGAACUGCAGGUGAAACUGUGCAGCGAGAGUGCAGGAGAGGUAAGUGGAAGUCGUAGUGUAGCGGUGAAAUGCGUAGAUAUGAGGAAGAACACCAAUGGCGAAGGCAGCUUACUGGACUGGAACUGACGUUGAGGCUCGAAAGCGUGGGUAGCGAACAGGAUUAGAUACCCCUGUAGUC
rnacentral:rRNA from 1 species